rnacentral:rRNA from 1 species
CCUACGGGAGGCAGCAGUGGGGAAUAUUGGGCAAUGGAGGAAACUCUGACCCAGCGACGCCGCGUGCGGGAUGAAGGCCUUCGGGUUGUAAACCGCUUUCAGCAAGGAAGAAGCGAAAGUGACGGUACUUGCAGAAGAAGCACCGGCUAACUAUGUGCCAGCAGCCGCGGUAAUACAUAGGGUGCAAGCGUUGUCCGGAAUUAUUGGGCGUAAAGAGCUCGUAGGUGGUUCGUCACGUCGGAUGUGAAAAUCUGGGGCUUAACCCCAGACCUGCAUUCGAUACGGGCGUGCUAGAGUGUGGUAGGGGAGACUGGAAUUCCUGGUGUAGCGGUGGAAUGCGCAGAUAUCAGGAGGAACACCAAUGGCGAAGGCAGGUCUCUGGGCCAUUACUGACACUGAGGAGCGAAAGCGUGGGGAGCGAACAGGAUUAGAUACCCUGGUAGUCCACGCCGUAAACGGUGGGCACUAGUUGUGGGAACCUUCCACGGUUUCUGCGACGCNGCUACGCAUAAGUAGCCCGCCGUCGGGAGGUACGAGUCGCGAAGAAUUAAAACUAACGAAAGGAAAGUUAGUACGGACGUGAGACGUAGCCGACGGACGACGACGAGGGAGGAGG